ensembl:lncRNA
GAGCAGUUUCAUGAAGAUGGCUUUCGCGUGAAGCUCUCGGACCUGCCGGCUGUGUGUGGGAAGCAGGAGCUUUGUUUAAGAGAGGUGCGUUCGGAUACUGUUCCAGGACGGGGAGCGGAGCGCCGUGCGGACGUUGCAGUGGAGAGCCGGGGAGACGAGCCAGGCCCUGGCGCAGCUGUGUGCCGCCACCUUCGGAGUGUCCGACCCGCAGCAAUACACCCUGUACUGGCGCAGCGGCGGCGAGAUGAGGGCCCUGCCGCCCCAGGCCCAGCCCCAGGACCUGGCCAGCCACAGCGAGGGAGGCCCCUCGCUCUCCUACCUGAGGACCGACCACGACUUCAGCAAGAUGCGGCGGCUCACCAGGGGUGGCGCCGUGGACCUGAGCGAGUCGGUGUGUGAGGAGUGAGUGGGAGGCAUAGAGGAGGAAGGAGGAGGAAGGAAGGAAGGAAGGAAAGGAAGGAGGAGGAGGAGAUGGAUGGUGGCUCUUGCUUUCUCUCUCUCUUUCUCUCUCUUGUUCUGUCUCUUUUCUCUCUCCGACGGUGUGUUGUGUCUCGUCGUGGGUCGGGACUUUUUCGUGACAAACUGCAGCCCUUCUCCAGACCAGGAGCAGAGCUUUAAAACAAACAAACAAACAAACAAAUGGUAAACUCUUCCCUAAAUGGACCGACGUGCAGAACAGAGCAGGACCAACGUAGGGGAGUGUUGCCAAAAAGUUGUACCAUGUACCACUCAGUGUGGCUGCUAGUGUAAAGGAGUGUGCUGCUUGUGACAAUGGAAAAUGUGUAAUAAAUGGAUUUUGGUUGUUAUUUGAAACAUGAACCCAGAGUUAUACCACGAAGCGAUUACAUCAUUAAAAACAAAACAAAAAAAAAACAUGUGAAGAGGCUCGAAUCCAAAGACAAAUUCUGUGAGACUACUGUUGCCUGGAAACUAAUCACUUCCUGCGAGCGCGCGCCGCAAGAAGGCAAAUAGUCCACCGCGGUGAUGUAACCCUUCCACUGUAUAGUUCUGGGUGAAAAUUGGAUAUUUUAUUACUUUUUUGGGGGGGGUUUGCUCCUUUUAUGUGUAAAUGUCUGCAGAUUGAUUGCUGGAUGGAACUAUGCUGUUAAAAGGUGGGGGUACGAGGCUUUCUGUGCCCCCCUCCCUCCCUUCCCCCCACCCCAGUGACAAAAAAGGGGAGAUGUGUGAUAGCCACGACCAAACCUCAAUACCAAAGGGACGAAAAAAGAAGAUAAAAGAAAGGCCAUCUUGUGACACAACAGCUGUUUGCUUUGAAAGAAAUCAUGAGGGAAGCUUUAAAUCAGCUGUUUAUUUUUAGGCUCCCCCACAAAGACUAUUUUAUUUUUACUUCCUGAAGAGAAAAAAAAAGGAAAGCAAAGAAGAAGAAGAAGCUCUUCUCCCAGCUUGCGUAUUCUAUUUAAUGGUUUUGGCAGGUGGAGUAAUGGGCAAGUAGGAGGGAAGUGAUAGAAAGGCAUCAUCUCUCUCUGUUUUUAAACCAAGUGAGGGAAGAAAAAAGACGGAAGCGCAUCACAUCCACACACCAGGACAACAGAUUUUACUGAAUGACUCGCGAAUGUAUUUAAAAUCUCUCUCAGUGUUUAUUCCUUUUCAGAACUGCAUCCGUUUCAUGUUUCGAUUCACCGCUUUUGAGUUCUACUGUUGGCUGAGCCUGUUUUUCUUUCUUUUUGUUAUAAGCGGACUGAGAGGACAGUCUGACCAAUAAAACCGGGAGCCUCGCGGCGACUGGUAGAAUGUAAAUGUGCACGUCGCCAGCCUCUUGGUGACUUCCUGCUGCAAGUCAUCACUAUCGACUCACUGUUCGACUCAGUGUCGUUAUCGAUGAUCAUUAUUGUGUGUAUUUAAAACUUUGAAUAGUUGAAUUUGUUGGGUAGAUAUCGAACCUAAACAUGUGGACAUUCCAACAUUUCUGGAGUUUUUGGAUCAGCCGAGUCGGGGGAGGGGAGGAGGUUCAGUUUUGAGAUGUGUUUUGAACAUUAUUGCAUGCUUUUUUCAUUUUAACGCGAAGGUUCUGCGAAUGUGGCGUGCGCGUAUGUGUGCGUGUACGUGUGCGUGUAUGUGUGCGUGAAGCAUGUGUUCAUUGUGAGAGCUCACUAUUUCUUUUCAGUGUAAAAACACAUGACUGUAUUUUGUCAGGUAACUCAGUAUCGCAAUAAAAAAAAUUGCAAUAUCCGUUCGCCGUGUGGUUACGGUGAGUGAAGUGCUGGAGUGGGGUUGGGAGUGUUGACGGGUGCAGAUUUAACCACCAGAUGGCAGCAAAUACUAACACUGUCAUUUCACACCUUCACAUUAAUUUCUUACUGACUUUGAGUGUUGAGACUUAUCAUUGACUAUUUAGUAAUUCAUGUAUUAAUCCAUUAAUUAAC